CUUUUCUACGGAAUUCUAUAGAAAAUAUUAUGGAAUUAUACGGAAAUCGAUGGAAAUCCAUGGAAUUUGAUGGAAUUCCAUCCACUUGCAAAUUUUCCAUCUGAAGCUGUUAUGGAAUUCCACGGAAUCUCGACUAAAAUUCCAUGCAUUUCCAUGGAAUGUAUGGAAAACACCAUGGAAAGUUGGACUUAGCCAUUUUAAUCAACGGAAAUCGUUAUGGAAAAUAACUUAUACAUUUUUUUGGAUGGAAAUCAAUGGAAAAUAACUUAGAAAAUUUUUCGCUGGUUGUCUGAAAUGUAUUUGUAGUUUAAUACAUGUAUGAAUUUAUUUUCAUCAUGUAUUUUGUAUUUAAAAGAAAAUGCAAUAAAGAUAAUUAUAAAUUUGUUCUAGAAAUUGGAACAGUUCUGGAACUGUUCCAUAUUUGUGUUCUAAAACGUAUGUUCUGGAAUUGUUCCAAAACAGUUUUUUAGAAUAAAUCCAGAACAUUUGUGGAAAAUGGCUUAGGACUUAAACUGUACCAAUAAUUUCAAGAACCUUUUUAGAACAUUUCAAGGACAAAAUAUGGUCAAGAAAUUUCUAAAAAUGUUUUAAAAUUUAGUUCUAGAACACAUCUAGAAUGCUUUAAGAACCAGUAAGUUCUACAAAAGUUCUAAUGGGGAAUAAGAACACAUAUAGAACACCUUACACUUACAAAUAGCCAAAUAGACUUCAUAGUAGCGAUAGCAGCAGCAGCAGUAGUAGUAGUAGUUGUAGAUGUAGUAGCUAUAUUAGUAGUAGUAGUUGUUGUUGUUGUAGUAGGUGUUGUUGUUGUAGUAAUUGAUAUAGUAGCAGUAAGUAGUAGUAGUAGAAGUAGUAGCAUUAACAGUUUCUGUAGCAAUAGUAGUAGCAAUAGAAGUAGCAGUAGUAGCAGUUGUUGCAGUAGUAGCAGUUGUUGCUGCUGCUGUUGCUGCUGUUGUUGUUGCUGCUGUUGUUGUUGUUUCUGCUGUUGUUGCUGCUGUUAUUGUUGCUGUUGUUGUUGGUGGUGGUGUUGUUGAUGCUGUAGUAAUUAAAGUAGUAGUUCUGCAGAAGUAGGAGUAGUUGUUACUUUCAAAGCAAUUUCUACAAGUUUAAAUUCCUUAACCCUGUCCAUGUGGUAUACACACUGUUUUCUCUCAAUAUCAAACUCAGCCAGUCCAGGUUGUCAAAUAACAAUCUAUCUGAUAAGCCCAGCUUGUGCAGUGAGUCAGAUGUUGGGUAUGUUUGCUGCAAAUCUAUUGGUUAUAAGAUAUAACAGCCUUUUCUAAUUGGCUUAAUUCAAAUACAGAAAGUUUACCUGUUAGAUUGAAACAUGAAACAUGGUGGAAAAUGUACUGGUUUAACUUGUUAAAAUAAAGUUAAAGAAAUUUAACAAACAGAAGAGUUCAUUAGUUUUUCCAUUAAAAACACUUUUUUAAAAUACUUAUGUAUUUAUAUCAUUUGGAAAGUGACAUGAAAUAUUGUUAAAGAGUGAUGCAUACAGUGUUUGAGCAGUCUGUCUAGGAAUAGAACAACAACUGAAGUUGAUGGAAGAUACUGCAGAGUUUGGCAGGGAAAUAAUCCAACAGCAAAGCCGCUCUUUAAGCGCAUUCACCUAGAGGACUUACAGGGCCACACAUUCAUGAGCACAUGUGAGCAGUAUACAAUGUACCUCAUACCAAAAAGAAACCGGAGGCAGUGACUGGUGUUCAAUAUUCUCAGAAGAAAAGGAAAAUGGCAGUGGAAGACUUGGACAAACAUUUUUAAAAACAAGCCUCUGUGUUAAGCCUGGCAGUCUGUGGCUGGUGACAUGUUUUAUUUGGGUUACUUCUUGUAUAAAAAAAGACCAGUUAUUUAUUUUGUGAAUUAUAUUUUGUGUUUGUUUUUUGUCUUAAUUUAUUAUAUUUUUUUUAAUUUAGGAAUUUGAAACUUGGAUAAUUGAAUAAAGUCCGUGUUCAACAGUACUGAGCAUAGUAUAAUAAAUAACAAAUUUACAACAGUUGUUAAUUUGUUAUGUAUUAUUAUUAACUAUGCUCAGUACUUGAAUACUGGCUGUCUGCACGGGAAUUUGUUUUCUAGAAAGUUGGUUUCAGACUUAAAUAUUUGAAGUUAACCUUCGGAACUUUUCUAGAAUUGUACUGGAACACAUCAACUAAAACUGAACUUCUGUUAUCAUACUGAAAGUGUUCUAGAAUUAAUAAGGAACAGUUGUUGAACGUUAAAAUGUAUGAGAAAAAACUCGAGAACAAUUCUGCGUGAUGUGUGUGUGUGCAUGUAAUUGUGUGUGUUUAUGAACAUAUGUGAGAAAGGAUGUAUACUUGUCAUAAGAUAAAUGUAAAAUUCUACUUCUAUGUUUUAUAUUGUGCCUUUUAUAAGUUUUUCUUUUCUCACCUGUAUAUGCGUGCAUGUUUAUGGAUGUGUUUUUGAAUGUGUGUGUGCAUGCCUGUGGUUAAGAGAGUAGGUACUUUAUGAAAAUGUAAAACCACUCAUUUUUGAAUAUGUACUGUGACUGCACGUGUGUGGUUAAUGAUUGAUGCUAUAUCUUGUUCUUGUUUAACUUCUAUGAUGAAACCUUUAGUUACAUUCACAUUUGUUUUUCAAAAUCAACAAAAUGCCUUUAAUCUAUAAUCUGUUUUUUUCUAUUUUAUUCCAGCUUUUUAUUAAAUUCCAUAGCUUUUCACGGAAUUCCACGGCAUUCUAUGGAAUUCCACGGCAUUCUAUGGAUUUCCACGGCGUUCUAUGGAAUUCCACGGCGUUCUAUGGAAUUCCACGGCAUUCUAUGGAAUUCCACGGCAUUCUAUGGAAUUCCACGGCAUUCUAUGGAAUUCCAUGGCAUUCUAUGGAAUGCCACGGAAUUCUAUGGAAUUCCACGGCAUUUUAUGGAAUUCCAUCCCAUAUCAAGUCCCUCUUCUGUUUUUUUUUCACUUUUCCAUUGAUUGCAUGGAAUCGGAUGGAAAGUUAGUGCCAAUACUCCACGGAAUUCCAUCUAACGAUUUCCAUAGAAUUCCAUAUGAUUCCGCGGCAGAUCUACA